CCUACAUAGCCGAGUUCCAAAGACCGGGUUCAAGCCGGUCUGACCAACUUUUGAGUGAGGUGCGUGCGAGUUGGCAACGAACAAAAGCCGGGCCAAAACGGCAGCUGAUUGGGAGGCGGACAGAUGGUCAGACGGAUGGACGGACGGACUUCGGCAGCAGCAGCAGCAGCAUCUGGCGCUGACCUUGAAGACGUAAAUGUGAAGACGCAUCUACAUAAAUAUCUAUUGUAUCUCCGGCUCUUUUUGUCUGGCAUCGGGCAUCUCGUAUUUGUGUAUUGAAAGCGACAGUCCGAACAAGAAGGGAAGAAUUCUGCCCCAAACUUGUCGAAUUUCCAUCACCGAUGGACAACGCCCCCGCGCACAGAAGCACUCAAUCCGAUUAGCACUCGGAGCCAUUGAUCACAGCCAGAUUAAUUAUGCAAAUCCAGCAUGAUAAAUGCAGCUCGCUUCAUAUGCCCUCGAAAAGCUGCGGAAAAGACCCAAAUAAUAAAUAUUAAGCAGCUGCGAUUCAUAUCCAUUUUCAAGGGCCCCGAAUGCCCUCAAGAUCCAUUUGUAGGCGGACAGGCUAA